AAUAGGUGCAGUUUUGCACUAUUCACGUUCAAAGUUUGACCGUUCGUCUUAUUUAAAAAUUUUUUAUGAUUAGUAUUUUUAUUGCUAUGAGAUGAUAAAACAUAAAUAGUAAUUUAUGUGUGACUAAAUAUUUUUAAAUUUUUUAUAUAAGACAGACAGUCAAACGGAUGUAGUACUUGAU
rnacentral:pre_miRNA from 1 species